rnacentral:rRNA from 1 species
AGGUUUCCGUAGGUGAACCUGCGGAAGGAUCAUUACAGAAUGACACGGAGGGGUUAGAACCGAGCUGGCCCCCGACGGGCAAGUGCUCGCCCCUCGUAUUCUAUCUACCAAACACCUGUGCACCUAGCGAACGCCUCCCUUGUAGGAGUCGGCCGACGCCCUUCACCGCGAAGGUGCCCCUCGGCUUGAGGGGUUCACUCUAAUAGGAAUUGUAGAUGCCAGUAACAAACGCAUGUCUUUGAGCUCCACGGAGCGCAAACUUAAUACAACUUUCAACAACGGAUCUCUUGGCUUUCGCAUCGAUGAAGAACGCCGCGAAAGUGCGAAACGUAAUGUGAAUUGCAGAAUUCAGUGAAUCAUCGAAUCUUUGAACGCACCUUGCGCUCCUCGGUCAUUCCGAGGAGCAUGCCUGUUUGAGUGUCGUGAAACCCUCUCAACCCCGGCCUUUACUGUGCCCGUGUGGGCUGGACUUGGACGUUGCCGUCUUUGCGGACGGCUCGUCUCGAAACGUAUUAGCUGGUUUCACCUCGGUUCCGUCGACAACGGUGUGAUAAGUGAUUGUUCGUCGAAGUCGUAGACCACCAACGGUGACCGCUUACAGUCGUCCGUCCCCCCCUUCAAGGGGGACGACAAACCACGUCAUCUGACCUCAAAUCAGGUAGGACUACC